ACCAGGAUGGCCGAGUGGUAAAGGUGUUGGGGCUUAAGAUCCAAUGGAUGUAUAUCCGCGUGGGUUCAAACCCCACUCCUGGUA
rnacentral:tRNA from 2 species